UGCAGUCGAACGAUUAAAGCUCUCUUCGGAGAGUGCAUAAGGUGGCGCACGGGUGAGUAACACGUAAGUAAUCUACCCUCGGGUGGGGAAUAACAUCGGGAAACCGAUGCUAAUACCGCAUAAUGCAGCGGCACCGCAGGGUGACAGUUGUUAAAGGAGUAAUUCGCCUGAGGAGGAGCUUGCGGCAGAUUAGCUAGUUGGUAAGGUAAUGGCUUACCAAGGCUACGAUCUGUAACCGGUCUAAGAGGACGGUCGGUCACACUGACACUGAAUAACGGGUCAGACUCCUACGGGAGGCAGCAAUCGGGAAUUUUGGGCAAUGGGCGAAAGCCUGACCCAGCAACGCCGCGUGAAGGAUGAAGUAUUUCGGUAUGUAAACUUCGUAAGAAUAGGAAGAAUAAAUGACGGUACUAUUUGUAAGGUCCGGCUAACUACGUGCCAGCAGCCGCGGUAAU
rnacentral:rRNA from 1 species